rnacentral:lncRNA from 1 species
CUCAGAGGAAGGGAGACAACUGAGCUUCCCAUGAGACAAAUUCACUGAGCUCCAAACAGCAGGCGACUGGGCAAGUCUACCAAAGGAUUUCCCCUUGUAUUCUGGCCUGGGGUGCUGUCCAGGUCAGCAGGUCUCUCUCUCUCCACAGUUGGAACACAGAUCCAGACAACGUCUCCUAGAGACAGCCCAGGAGAGUGAAAAGAGCAGAGGCUGUGUGUUUUCUCACAACUCCACCAGCUCGGUGAACUUGGGCAAGUCACUUGACCUCUGUGGGACUCAAUAACACGGUCUAUAAAACAUGACAACAUUGUCAACCCAGAAAGCAAUCAAUAAAGUGUGCAUCCUCAGGCAUCCAGCCAUCUGACCAUGACCACAGGUUGACAGACACUGUCCUAUAAAGCUCUGGUUGCCCCAAAAAGGAGGUUGGACUAAAUUGAAUCUUCUGAUUCCAAUUUUAUGAACUGCAAUAAAAUCUCUCUAGGGUGCAGGAUUACAUCUGUGUUGAAGAAUGACUACAUUAAGACAAUUAUCAGACGCUCUUUAUGCUUCCAAAUUGGAGGCACUUUAUCUAUGCUGACACUAGGUGUACACAGUUUGAAAGGAAUAAAUGCACCCUCAGCCAGGGGAAAUGGAGAAACAAAAAGGCUGUACCUGGUGUAAGCCUUGCUGAUGGCAGAACAAGUGGGCCAAUUCUGUGUGUCACAGAAUUGCAGCGAUUCUGGUAGGAGAUUUUCACGACUUCAUAAGAACUUAAUAGUAAUCAAAGAGCUUUUCCUCCUUCUGUUAAAAAAGAAAAAGUAGGGGGCUGAGCGGACAGGGGAAAUCUUUCACCUGAGAGUUAGAAGGGACCAGUUUCCCAUUCACAGGCUAGUCCUGCAGGACCACGUCAUUAGCCAUGAAUGCUUUGUUCUUUUGCAGAAUGUUGUGCAGCCCUGAUGAGUUUGGCUUUGAGUGUCUCCCUGGAGGAGGGAAGACUUAGUGUUGGGAACACAGCAGGCUAAGCCUGUGUUCUAAGGAGAGUGUACAGUUGCUAAUAAAGUGUUUGGAUUUUGCUUUUCUUCUUUUCA